GUUUGAUCAUGGCUCAGAUUGAACGCUGGCGGAAUGCUUUACACAUGCAAGUCGAACGGUAACAGGUCUUCGGAUGCUGACGAGUGGCGAACGGGUGAGUAAUAUAUCGGAACGUGCCCAGUCGUGGGGGAUAACGUAGCGAAAGUUACGCUAAUACCGCAUACGAUCUAAGGAUGAAAGCGGGGGAUCGCAAGACCUCGCGCGAUUGGAGCGGCCGAUAUCAGAUUAGGUAGUUGGUGGGGUAAAGGCUCACCAAGCCAACGAUCUGUAGCUGGUCUGAGAGGACGACCAGCCACACUGGAACUGAGACACGGUCCAGACUCCUACGGGAGGCAGCAGUGGGGAAUUUUGGACAAUGGACGCAAGUCUGAUCCAGCCAUUCCGCGUGCAGGAUGAAGGCCCUCGGGUUGUAAACUGCUUUUGUACGGAACGAAAAGGUUUCUAUUAAUACUAGGAGCUCAUGACGGUACCGUAAGAAUAAGCACCGGCUAACUACGUG
rnacentral:rRNA from 1 species